AGACUCAGGAACCGAGCUAGGUUCACCCAGUGGAUCCCGCACCAGGGCUGUAGGUGGAGCUGCCUGCCAGUCCCGGGCCGUGCACCCGCACUCCUCAGCCCUUGGGUGGUCGAUGGGACUACGCGCGGUGGAGCAGGAGGCGGCGCUUGUCCAGGAGGCUCGGGCUGCACAGGAGCCCACGGAGGCGGAUAGGGAAGCUCAGGCAUGGCGGGCUGCAGGUCCUAGGCCCUGACCGGCGGGAAGGCAGCUAAGACCCGGCGAAAAGUCCAGCGCAGCGCCGGUGGGCUGGCACUGCUGGGGAACCCAGUACACCCUCCGCAGCCGCUGGUCCGGGUGCUAAGCCCCUCAUUGCCCGGGGGCGGCAGGGCCGGCCGGCUGCUCCGAGUGCGGGGCCCGCCAAGCCCACACCCACCCGGAACUCCAGCUGGCCCGCAAGCGCAGCGCGCAGCCCCGAUUCCCGCUCGCGCCCCUCCCUCCACACCUCCCUGCAAGCUGAGGGAGCGGGCUCCGGCCUUGGCCAGCCCAGAGUGCCGCGGUGGGCUGAAGGCCUCCUCAAGUGCCGCCAAAGUGGGAGCCCAGGCAGAGGAGGUGCCAAGAGCGAGUGAGGGCUGUGAGGACUGCCAGCAUGCUGUCAUCUCUCACUAUAAUUUGUUUUCACCCCAUGCCGACCCACCUAAGCCCUCACUUUAUCUUUUUGGGUGCCCUCAGAAAAUGUCCCAAUUGUCUUUCCAAAUGGAUAAAUCCUGAGUGUGCCAGUGAUUCUGCUGGGCCCUACCAAGUCAGAAAUACCAGACGCCAUCUUUGUUUUCAAGGUGCAAGAAUUUUAAGAAAGGAGAAAGACAAACAGAGAGUUGACAAACAUAAUACAGGAUUAAUGAUGCAGAAGAAAGCCAGCUGACACUUUGAGGACCUGGAACUAAAUCAGACAAAUACCAAAAAAAGAUCAAGGAUUGCUCUGUUUGUUUUGUUUUGUACCCAAAGUAAAAUAUAAAAUUUAUAAGAAUAGUUAUGCAGUUCAGUUGUGCCAUUGACUGCAUAUAAAUCAGUACCACUUCAUUCUACUUUCAUACAUUGUAAUUUUUGUUGCAGUAAAAUGUUACUGGGAAAAAGAGUAGAGAUACAUUUUUGGACAAAAAUAUAUACCAGAGUUUUUAAGGCCUAUUAGAUCCUUGUAGUUUUUAUCACUUAAAUUUUAAGAAGAUAGUCUAAUAACUAGAAACCUGUUUUAUUUUUUUAAAGAUGUUUCUGGAAUGAAGGUCAUUGAGACCAAAUGACCAAAAGGGGCAUUCCUUAUUGACAGAUACCACAAUUUAUAUUAGAUACUUAAUAGCUGUAAACUUUAGAUGAUGAACAUUUGCACAGUAUUGACAAAGAGAGAUUAAAAAGAAUUAACCAUAGCAUGAAGCAUCAUCACUAGCUUAUGAUUAAUAAAAAUUCAAGUAUUUUAGUUAAAUAAACUUGAAAUAAUAGAUAUGUGUGAAUUGGGUACUCUACAAGAAAAACCUGCAUGUUUUCUUAAGUGAUACCAGAUUUUAUAAACAAUAAUAAAUUUGGCCAAAGUUGCCAAAUCUGAAAAUUUACAGUCCACAUUUUUGAUGACAUAGUAAAACUGGAAAUCACAUAUAAAAAUUUAGGGAAUAACAAUACUUUGAAGUUGAACCAUCAAUUUCACAUCGUAAACAACUAUUUGCUUAAAGAGGAAAUACAAAUAUAUUUAGAUAUUUUAAAGAUUCGAUAUUUGAAAAUUUUAUAUUUUCUAUUUAAACUAGAAAAACGAGACAUGCUACCUUAUUCAUUCAUACAUAAUCUAAACAAACUUUUAACCCAAUUCUCACUAUGAGCCAUGCACUAUUUUAGCACUAGGGGUAAAGUAAACAAACAGACAAAGCCUUUGCCCUCAGAGAACUUCUAUAUUCCCAGGGUGAAAUAGACAAAAAAAGACAGGUGAAUAAUAGGUUGAAGUAUAUGAUAUUGCCAUUUUGUGGAUCAAAGUGAUAGAACAUGAAGAAUUUCGUAGAUCAUUCAACCAAAUUUACAGACUUUCAGAUAGAUAGAUGAGUAAACAUAAAUUAAAUCUAAGUUUAUAGGUGUUGAAAACUGAAGUCUUAUUAAGGUAUGAUGAGAACGUGAGAAUUUCUCUUGCUUGUCAUUAAGAUUUUGCUAAGUAACAUGUACAGAAAAAACAUUUGUCUCACACGGCUGCUAAUAGUACUGAAAUCAACAAUUUGCAACAUAUUAAUCCAUUUUUCUACAUAUUCACAUAACGACAUAUAAAUACAUGUUUGUGGAGGAACUUUGUUCUUUCUCUCCUACCUUUUUCUUUUUCUAACAAAGUGAAUAUACUAAAGACAUUGUUCUUAGUAUUACUUUUUCAAUUAAAAUCUGUAAAGGGUUACUUCUUGCUUUGAUGCAUAUAGAUUUAAUAAAUUCUUUAAAUAGAUGCUUAAUAUUCCAUAAUACAGAUGCAAUAUACUUAUUAAUAAGUCUUUCCUAUUAUCAUUUAUUUUUGUGAAAAUAAUUCCUCAAAAUGGGAUUUUUGGAUGAAGAAGUAAUUUUAUUAGACAGUGCAAGGUUUAUUUUCCAUAACCAUUUCCAGCAAUUCACCCUUCAUUAGCAAUACAUUUAAGAGCCUAUUUAUCCACAUAAUAAUGAGCACUGGAUUUGAAUUUGAUGGAUUCAAAGUUAUACCAUUUCAAUUUCAAUAAAAAACCUCGAAUUUUUUUCAAUAUGUUACUGUAUAUUUUGACUUUCUUCUAUGAAUAUCUUGUUAUUCUUUGCCUAUUUUUUGUUUUAUAUAUUUAAAAUUUUAAUCUAAUUAUAACUUGCACAUAAUUUAGACACCCAAAUGGUAUGUUGUAAAAAAUAGUAGUUGCCUAUCUGCCCUUCUCUUUUAUUUUCUACUUCCAAGGAUAAAUUACUUGUAACUCUCUUUGUUGAUUUUUUCAAUACCCACUUCUAUCUCUAUGAAUAAAAUUCUUAUAUUGUC